AGAGACAGCAGUCGCCACGGGAAUACGGAGGGUGCAAGCGUUAAUCGGAAUUACUGGGCGUAAAGCGCACGCAGGCGGUCUGACAAGUCAGAUGUGAAAUCCCCGGGCUUAACCUGGGAACUGCAUUUGAAACUGUCAGGCUGGAGUCUUGUAGAGGGGGGUGGAAUUCCAGGUGUAGCGGUGAAAUGCGUAGAGAUCUGGAGGAAUACCGGUGGCGAAGGCGGCCCCCUGGACAAAGACUGACGCUCAGGUGCGAAAGCGUGGGGAGCAAACAGGAUUAGAUACCCGAGUAGUCCCUGUCUCUUAUAC
rnacentral:rRNA from 1 species